CUCCAGAGUCCGGUGCACUCGCCUCCGCCUGUCCCUAAGUGGCCCGACUCGGCGGUCCAGGCACCCUGCCGCAGGGGAAUGGCCCGGGUGACCCCCAGCCCCGCCUCCUGCAGGGCGCAAGGGGCCAGAGGGAAAAAUCUUUGCGGAGUUGAUGAAGUUGAAGUUUCGUAAAGGGCGUGAAGGAGACAGCCAAUCAGCGACUGCUCAUUUACAUGGGCUUUCUGAUUGGCUCUCACGGUGCCUCUUUAGAAUGUUACUUUGAAACCUUAAGAAAACGUUGAGCCAAGUCCCGCUGCCGAAAGGGAGGGAGCCGCUCAGACCCCUCAAGUUCCUGUAGGAACCCCCAGGCCAGCUCUGAUGGGAGGUGGGGAACUGAGAUAUGGUCUCGCCCAACCCUCAAGAUACAGAACACCGCCUUGAGGCCAGAGGGUCAGAGAGAUGGAGAUUGGCCUGGACCCAGGCACUAGGUUCUGCCCAGCACCCUGCCAGGUGCCCAUCUCCUUACGGCUCUACGUGUAGUCAGGGGUCAUUUCAGACUGGAGGUCUCAAGAGGAGAGAGAAGGCCUGGCCUGGCUUGCAGGCAGUUGCACGCAGGGAUUGCAGCCCCAUUUUACAGACGAGGAAACUGAGGCUCGGAGGAGGAAGAGGUUUGCUCAAGGCUGUAAAGUGGGCUCCUCCAAGCUCCUACGUGCAUCUUUCUCGCCCACAGACACACACUCACACACCCUGGGGAGCUGUUCCUCCAGGCGCUGUGCCUAGAUGGAGAUGAGAGGCCCCAGCCGCCUGAGGACACUGGAGUGCACUGCUGGGACCGGUUCCAGGAAGCACCCUGGCCCAGGACCUGCGCGUAGUAGGUGCUCAGCUGCUGCCUGCCAAAUGAGGGCCCUGUGCAGGGGUAGGUAGCACACAGGAAGCCACUUAGAGGUUUCUAGACAUCCCGGAGCCUCGGCUUCCUCAACUGUAAGACAGAUGCUCAGUGUCCUCACCUCUUGGGUGGUUGGUAAAAAGCAACCGUAAAAACACACGUAAAGCAGUUCGCGUGGGUCUGGCCUCUGGAGGGGCCCCAUCACAGGUCAGACUGAUGCAUAUAGCUUUGCCACAACGAGUCCGCCACCAAGUCCGUGUACACGCAGCUCCCUCUGCCUAGGGCACCCCCGACUCUCCUCUGCUGAUGCCACAUAUCUCUGCGUCUCCUCUUCAAGGCCGAGUGCAUCUGCCACUUCCUCCAGGACAACAGCCGUGGUCUCCUGCCACAUCCAGCACCCCCUGGCACCCGGUGGCUGGCCUUGCAUGCUGAGAGUGGGCCCAGCCUGCCUGGCUCAGGGCCUGCACACAGUAGGUGCUCCUGUGCUGCCUGCUGGUCUGACCGCCCUGUACCAGGUCAGCACACAGCAACCAGCAGUUAGGGCGCUUCUGCAGUUAAAAUAAACCCCUGAGGUCAUGGUCUGUUCUCUCUGCA
rnacentral:lncRNA from 1 species